rnacentral:rRNA from 1 species
AUUGAACGCUGGCGGCGGGCCUAACACAUGCAAGUCGAGCGCGAGGCGGACGGGUGAGUAAUGUAUGGGGACUGCCCGAUAGAGGGGGAUAACUACUGGAAACGGUGGCUAAAACCGCAUAUUGUCGGAUAACCCAUAUGGGGUUAGCUAGUGGGUAAGGUAAGGGCUUACCCAGGCGACGAUCCCUAGCUGGUCUGAGAGGAUGAUCAGCCAAACUGGGACGGGGACACGGCCCAGAUUCCAAGGGAGGCAGCAGGGGGAAUAUUGCACAAUGGGCGCAAGCCUGAUGCAGCCAUGCCGCGUGUAUGAAGAAGGCCCUAGGGUUGUAAAGUACUUUCAGUCGGGAGGCGUUACCGACAGAAGAUGCACCGGCUAACUCCGUGCCAGCCGCCGCGGUAAUAC